UUACGGUCAUAUAACUUUGAAACACCAGUUACCCGUAUGAUUAUCGAAGUUAAGCAACAUCCAGCCUGAUCAGUACCUAGAUGGGUGACCGCGUGGGAAUGUUAGGGGUUGUAAG